rnacentral:rRNA from 1 species
CCUACGGGAGGCAGCAGUGGGGGAUAUUGCACAAUGGGGGGAACCCUGAUGCAGCGACGCAGCGUGGGUGAAGGAGUAUUUCGGUAUGUAAAGCCCUAUCGGCAGGGAAGAAAUUGGACGGUACCUGACUAAGAAGCCCCGGCUAACUACGUGCCAGCAGCCGCGGUAAGACGUAGGGGGCAAGCGUUAUCCGGAUUCACUGGGAGUAAAGGGAGCGUAGACGGCCAUGCAAGCCAGGGGUGAAAGCCCGGGGCCCAACCCCGGGACUGCCCUUGGAACUGCAUGGCUGGAGUGCGGGAGGGGCAGGCGGAAUUCCUGGUGUAGCGGUGAAAUGCGUAGAUAUCAGGAGGAACACCGGCGGCGAAGGCGGCCUGCUGGACCGCGACUGACGUUGAGGCUCGAAAGCGUGGGGAGCGAACAGGAUUAGAUACCCGUGUAGUC